rnacentral:rRNA from 1 species
GAUGAACGCUGACAGAAUGCUUAACACAUGCAAGUCUUUGGCGAAGCUGUGCUUGCACAGCCUAGCCAAGGCGGACGGGUGAGUAACGCGUAAGGGACUUGCCCUGCAGUCAGGGAUAACAGACGGAAACGACUGAUAAAACCUGGUAAAGUCAGGCGGACUCAUGUCCAGCCUGAUGAAAAGGAAUGCUGCAGGAGAGCCUUGCGUCCUAUUAGCUUGUUGGUGGGGUAACGGCCCACCAAGGCGAUGAUAGGUAGCCGGCCUGAGAGGGUGGACGGCCACAAGGGGACUGAGAUACGGCCCUUACUCCUACGGGAGGCAGCAGUGGGGAAUAUUGGACAAUGGGGGCAACCCUGAUCCAGCAAUUCUGUGUGCACGAUGAAGGUCUUCGGAUUGUAAAGUGCUUUCAGCAGGGAAGAAAAAAAUGACGGUACCUGCAGAAGAAGCGACGGCUAAAUACGUGCCAGCAGCCGCGGUAAUACGUAUGUCGCGAGCGUUAUCCGGAAUUAUUGGGCAUAAAGGGCAUCUAGGCGGCCGGAUAAGUCUGGGGUGAAAACUUGCGGCUCAACCGCAAGCCUGCCCUGGAAACUAUGCGGCUAGAGUGCUGGAGAGGUGGACGGAACUGCACGAGUAGAGGUGAAAUUCGUAGAUAUGUGCAGGAAUGCCGAUGAUGAAGAUAGUUCACUGGACGGCAACUGACGCUGAAGUGCGAAAGCUAGGGGAGCAAACAGG